ACCUCAGGUUAUUGAUCAAACUAUUCUGGUGAUGUUGCUGGAAUAAAGAUUUUAAAUCCUUCCACCAGGGAGAAUUAUCAGCAUUGCCUCUACCAUGUAAUAAGGCAUGCCAUCCCCCAUAGAUAGACACUAAAGUUCUUGCCCAAAGCUGGUGAGGAUUAUUUGCCAGCUGCCACCCCCAUUUACCUAGCAAAGCUUCAUUAAACUUGUUCAGAUCUUUAAUGCCCAAUCCACCUCUAGCUUUAGGUAAACAAACCGUAUCCCAUUUUACC
rnacentral:misc_RNA from 1 species